AGGAGGGGAGGGAGAUUUAAAUUGUGUGCUAAUUGAAUUCCUUCCAGUAUGGCUUUUAGUUCUGAAGGAGGUUCGAAGAUGUAAUCCAAGUUAAUUUGGGCAGCAGCUACCAGAUUACCGUUCUCAUCGCUACAAGUAACACCAAUACCCAUCACUGGUUUAUUCUGAUUCCAUACAGCAUCAAUAUUUAUUUUGAUGUAGCCAAGAAAAGGCUUCAUCCAUUUCAGGUUGUAUCUUGAUUGCUUAUGAUUCAAGAACUAUUCUUAUCUGACCAUAUGGCCCAACAUGCACUGGCUAUUUGGGAUAAAUCUUUGAUGGAUGAAGAAGACUGUAUGUGUUUCCAACGAUCAGUGAAGCUGGAGUUGAAGUUUUUGAAUAAGUUUUUCAAACUUUUAACAGGGCAACGAGAAGCAAGGAAGUUACCGUCCCAAUCCAAAUUGGAUGAGAUAUUGAGAUUGUCUCUAAAUGUAGAUUGAUUCACAUUCAGGAUACUAAUGGAUGGAGCACAAGCUUUAGUAUUAUUGGGUGGAUGGGUAGGUAUUUCCUUGUUUCUUUUUUCAUUUGAUUUACUGACAUCUUCAUUUUCUUUGCUCUUGGACCUGGGAUAGGGGUUUCUUCCUUGCUGGAAAAUUACCUUGAUACUUUAACCAAUGUCCACACUGGAAAAAUCCGAUGUUUGCAUCCUUUGACUGUUCUUGGUAUGGUCAAUGCAUCCAGUUAUAGCCUAAUGGUUCUUGAAGAUUCUUGCAGACUUCUUGGUUGUUAUUGGGCUACUUAAACCAAAAGCAAACUAGGCCCACAAAGUUAUUUAGCCCAAAGAAAAAGAGGGUAGUUGACGUGUGUGUACAGGAAUAGGCCAUAUAGUCAAGUUUAUUACAUGUGGUAGAAAUCCUCUUCUAUUCAGCUUUACUUUUCAUUUUGACACAAAUUUAUAGAAAGAAAAGAAUUGAGAUUUCUGACCUUUCUAUGGUUUAGUUUUUCCUUGCUUGUGAGAUACUCGAAUGAAGAAGAAAAUCAGAUUGCAAGGUGAGAAAUACAAAGAAGAGAAGAAGAAGAACAACAUGAUAUAAGGUUCGGUAAUCCUGAUUUUACAAAACAGGUAAGCAGAAAACAAAUUGAUAGUUUAUUGUUACAAUGGUUUCCUAACCGCCUUCUGUUUGCUAAAAGGCCAGAGAAGAAGAGUUGAUUCAAAGUUCUGAGCUUCUUUUGAUAUUAAUUUGUAGUUCACAUUCUUUACAUCUUCCUCCUUGGAACUUUGUCCAUUUCGAUGCAUGCAUUGACGAUCCCUCAACACUCUUAACAGAUUGAAGAGAUGAAGCGUCUGAAAGAGAUGCAUUUGAUCAUUUUCAAUAUUAAAGAGAUGUUUUGCUACAAUAUUUACUAUUUUUUACCUUAACAAAAAUAGUUUACGCCUUACAUACAAAUUAUUAUUAUCCAAAUUAAAAUAGUCUGCACUUCAAUACACUAGAAGA